rnacentral:rRNA from 1 species
UACAGAGGGUGCGAGCGUUGUUCGGAAUUACUGGGCGUAAAGGGCGCGUAGGCGGAUCGGCAAGUCAGAAGUGAAAUCCCUGGGCUCAACCCAGGAAUUGCUUUUGAGACUGCCAGUCUUGAGUACAGGAGAGGUGAGUGGAAUUCCCAGUGUAGAGGUAAAAUUCGUAGAUAUUGGGAGGAACACCAGUGGCGAAGGCGGCUCACUGGCCUGUAACUGACGCUGAGGCGCGAAAGCGUGGGGAGCAAACAGG